rnacentral:tRNA from 3 species
UGGUGUAGCUCAGUCGGUAGAGCAGCUGAUUUGUAAUCAGCAGGUCGGGGGUUCAAGUCCGUCCACC